AUUGAACGCUGGCGGCAGGCCUAACACAUGCAAGUCGAACGGUAGCACAGAGAGCUUGCUCUCGGGUGACGAGUGGCGGACGGGUGAGUAAUGUCUGGGAAGCUGCCCGAUGGAGGGGGAUAACUACUGGAAAGGGUAGCUAAUACCGCAUAACGUCGCAAGACCAAAGUGGGGGACCUUCGGGCCUCACACCAUCGGAUGAGCCCAGAUGGGAUUAGCUAGUAGGUGGGGGAAGGGCUCACCUAGGCGACGAUCCCUAGCUGGUCUGAGAGGAUGACCAGCCACACUGGGACUGAGACACGGUCCAGACUCCUACGGGAGGCAGCAGUGGGGAAUAUUGCACAAUGGGCGCAAGCCUGAUGCAGCCAUGCCGCGUGUAUGAAGAAGGCCUUCGGGUUGUAAAGUACUUUCAGCGGGGAGGAAGGCGGUGGAGUUAAUAACUUCACCGAUUGACGUUACCCGCAGAAGAAGCACCGGCUAACUCCGUGCCAGCAGCCGCCGUAA
rnacentral:rRNA from 1 species